rnacentral:rRNA from 1 species
GUCGAGCGAAUGGAUUGAGAGCUUGCUCUCAAGAAGUUAGCGGCGGACGGGUGAGUAACACGUGGGUAACCUGCCCAUAAGACUGGGAUAACUCCGGGAAACCGGGGCUAAUACCGGAUAACAUUUUGAACUGCAUGGUUCGAAAUUGAAAGGCGGCUUCGGCUGUCACUUAUGGAUGGACCCGCGUCGCAUUAGCUAGUUGGUGAGGUAACGGCUCACCAAGGCAACGAUGCGUAGCCGACCUGAGAGGGUGAUCGGCCACACUGGGACUGAGACACGGCCCAGACUCCUACGGGAGGCAGCAGUAGGGAAUCUUCCGCAAUGGACGAAAGUCUGACGGAGCAACGCCGCGUGAGUGAUGAAGGCUUUCGGGUCGUAAAACUCUGUUGUUAGGGAAGAACAAGUGCUAGUUGAAUAAGCUGGCACCUUGACGGUACCUAACCAGAAAGCCACGGCUAACUACGUGCCAGCAGCCGCGGUAAUACGUAGGUGGCAAGCGUUAUCCGGAAUUAUUGGGCGUAAAGCGCGCGCAGGUGGUUUCUUAAGUCUGAUGUGAAAGCCCACGGCUCAACCGUGGAGGGUCAUUGGAAACUGGGAGACUUGAGUGCAGAAGAGGAAAGUGGAAUUCCAUGUGUAGCGGUGAAAUGCGUAGAGAUAUGGAGGAACACCAGUGGC